rnacentral:rRNA from 1 species
UGAGCAAUCUGCCCUUCACAUCGGAAUAACCAUUGGAAACGAUGGCUAAUACCGAAUAUGACUUCGGAUCGCAUGAUCUGAAGUGGAAAGCUCCGGCGGUGAAGGAUGAGCUCACGGCCUAUCAGCUAGUUGGUGUGGGUAAUGGCCCACCAAGGCGACGACGGGUAGCCGGCCUGAGAGGGUGACCCGGCCACACUGGGACUGAGACACGGCCCAGAUCCGUACGGG